UACGGGGGGGGCAAGCGUUGUUCGGAAUUACUGGGCGUAAAGGGCUCGUAGGCGGCCAACUAAGUCAGACGUGAAAUCCCUCAGCUUAACUGAGGAACUGCGUCUGAUACUGGAUGGCUUGAGUUUGGGAGAGGGAUGCGGAAUUCCAGGUGUAGCGGUGAAAUGCGUAGAUAUCUGGAGGAACACCGGUGGCGAAGGCGGCAUCCUGGACCAACACUGACACUGAUGAGCGAAAGCCAGGGGAGCAAACGGG
rnacentral:rRNA from 1 species